CAGAUCAAAGCCAGAGAUGAGGUGGCAUACACCUAAGAUAUUCAAACUCUGGCUUGAAGGUCAAUUGGAUCUGCCGACAUGUGUUGCUGAUUUUGUAACAUGAAAGCCAGCUAGAAAGAACAGUGGCCUACUGCCCUCUCUUCCACAACUACUGAUUAACAUCUGCCAAAGGGGCAUCAGGAAAGUGAGAGUGCCCUUUGUGAAAUCUGCCAAGGGAGCAAGAUGUGGCUGCGGUGACAGAGAGAGGGGAAGGAUGACUCUGGAAUGCUGGUGGAUUUCAUGGAUAUUUCUUUGAGAAGGCUUCUUUGUGGCUGUGAUAGAAGCUGGGGCUACAUCAGAUUCUAUGCCAGGGUGCCUGUCUUACAAGCUAAAUGUGGAGGCAGAACCUGCAUUCAAAAAGCUUGGGUAGCAGUGGAGGAAGGAGGUUGGAGUAAAGAUCUGAUGGACGGACAGCAGUCCAGAUGCAAUAAAGGAAUUUACUCUUUUAUAAUUGUAGAAAUGAAUAUAAAAAUAAAAUUCUAUGUGUGCCUGGUUAAUGCUACUAUCAUUUCACCUCAGAAAACUGCAUAUUAAUUAGAGGGAAUGCUAUGUUCCUAUAAAAAAGGAGGUCCAACAAUCUUCUUUUUUUAAAAAUUGGCACCUGAGCUAACAACUGUUGCCAAUCUUCUUUUUUUUUUUCUGCUUUUUAUCCCCAAAUCCCCCCAGUACAUAGUUGUAUAUCUUAGUUGCAGGUCCUUCUAGUUGUGGCAUGUGGGA
rnacentral:lncRNA from 1 species